CACGUAGGGCGCAAGCGUUGUCCGGAAUUAUUGGGCGUAAAGCGUCCGCAGGUGGUUUAUCAAGUCUGCUGUCAAAGCGCGAGGCUUAACUUCGUAAAGGCAGUGGAAACUGAUAGACUAGAGUUCGGAAGAGGCGAGUGGAAUUCCCGGUGUAGCGGUGAAAUGCGCAGAUAUCGGGAGGAACACCUAUGGCGAAGGCAGCUCGCUGGGACGUUACUGACGCUGAGACGCGAAAGCGUGGGGAGCAAACAGG
rnacentral:rRNA from 1 species